rnacentral:rRNA from 1 species
UACGGAGGGUGCAAGCGUUAUCCGGAUUCACUGGGUUUAAAGGGUGCGUAGGCGGGCAGGUAAGUCAGUGGUGAAAUCCCCGGGCUUAACUUGGGACUGCCGUUGAUACUAUCUGUCUUGAAUAUCGUGGAGGUGAGCGGAAUAUGUCAUGUAGCGGUGAAAUGCUUAGAUAUGACAUAGAACACCCAUUGCGAAGGCAGCUCACUACACGAUAAUUGACGCUGAGGCACGAAAGCGUGGGGAGCAAACAGG